GAUGAGACGCAGCGAAAUGCGAUAAGUAAUGUGAAUUGCAGAAUUCAGUGAAUCAUCGAAUCUUUGAACGCACAUUGCGCCCGCCAGUAUUCUGGCGGGCAUGCCUGUUCGAGCGUCAUUUCAACCAUCAAGCCCCAGGCUUGUGUUGGGGACCUGCGGCUGCCGCAGGCCCUGAAAACCAGUGGCGGGCUCGCUGUCACACCGGGCGUAGUAGAUUUUAUCUCGCUCAGGGCGUGCUGCGGGUUCCGGCCGUUAAAAAGCCUUUUUUACCCAAGGUUGACCUCGGAUCAGGUAGGAAGACCCGCUGAACUUAAGCAUAUCAAUAAGCGGAGGA
rnacentral:misc_RNA from 1 species